GUGGGAUGUCUGCAGUGUCACGUGACAGUACAGUUUCAAUUCUACAACAUGUAGUUUGUGACCCAGUCGAACCGACUCCAGUUAAUAUUGCUAUGUUAUUAACAACGCAUUCCUUGCCUCAAUGAGUGACUUUUCUCCAUUAUCUCCCAACGUUCGUCUUGCCACCGAUAAUGAACCCCCAUUUACCGUCACAGAGCAAUCAGUUUUUCAGAAAUUGUUAGCACUAAAUUCAACCAAAGCAACUGGGCCAGAUGGUAUUCCCUGCUGGCUUUUAAAAGAGAACGCCCCUAUUUUUUGCACGACCAGUAAUGUCGAUUAUUAACUGUUCAUUCUUGGAGUCUCGCUUACCUCCUUCAUGGAAAGAAGCCGAUAUAGUACCAAUACCUAAGCAAAAACCUGUCAAUGACAUAAAUAAAGACCUAAGACCAAUCUCUCUAACUCCAGUACUCUCUAAGGCGCUGAGGAAUACAUAGUUGGGUGUUUUGUAAAACCAGCUGUAUUGAAAAAAGUUGACCCACAACAGUUCGGUACCUGGCUUGAAUACCACCUAUGCUCUUAUUAGCAUGCUACAUAAAUGGAACUGUGACACUGAUGGUAAUAGUGCAACAGUGAGGAUUGUAUUGUUCGAUUUCAAAAAGGCCUUCGAUCUGAUCGAUCAUGAUAUUUUAAUUCAGAAACUUAAUUCAGAUCAACGACUUAAAUGUCUCUAACGAUGUGAUGUGGAAAUAUGUGGACGACUCAAAUAUCUCCGAAACUGUUAAAAAAGACGAAGUAAGUCAUAUCCAAUCAACCGUAGAUGAGUUCGUACGCAAGUCCAAAGCCGAAAAGUUCGUGUUGAAUGAGCGCAAAUGUAAAGAAAUGAGAAUUAGUUUUACGAAAUCGGAAAAAGACUUUCCACCCGUUAUGAUAAAUAACGCCCCCCUUGAAGUUGUCCCACAUGCCAAAAUUCUGGGCCUGAAUGUAUCCGACAACUUAAAAUGGAAUUAUCAUGUUAGCGAACUCGUUAAAAAAUCUUCAAAAAGAUUGUACUUCCUAACUCAGUUAAAGCGCGCCAAAGUGGGUUGUUUGGAAUUGGUACAAUUUUUUAAAUCCUGCAUCAGAUCUUUAAUUGAAUAUGCUUGCCCAGUGUAUCACGAUGGUCUCCCUACGUAUCUUUCGAGAGAUCUCGAAACUAUUCAAAGACGAGCAAUGCGAAUCAUCUACCCAACAGAAUCUUACGAAGAUGCCUUAUUAUUAUCAGGUCUAACCUCCCAAUUCCUACGGCGCCAACAGAUCACCAACAAAGUCUUCCUAAAUAUUAUGAACGAUGAUGCACACAAAUUACACGAAC